rnacentral:rRNA from 1 species
UACGAAGGGGGCUAGCGUUGUUCGGAAUUACUGGGCGUAAAGGGCGCGUAGGCGGCCUGCUAAGUCGAACGUGAAAUCCCCGGGCUCAACCCGGGAACUGCGUCCGAUACUGACAGGCUCGAAUCCGGGAGAGGGAUGUGGAAUUCCAGGUGUAGCGGUGAAAUGCGUAGAUAUCUGGAGGAACACCGGUGGCGAAGGCGGCAUCCUGGACCGGCAUUGACGCUGAGGCGCGAAAGCCAGGGGAGCGAACAGG